rnacentral:rRNA from 1 species
GACAGAGGGGGCAAGCGUUGCUCGGAAUUACUGGGCGUAAAGGGCGCGUAGGCGGAAUGGCAAGUCGGUCGUGAAAUCCUUCGGCUCAACCGAAGAACGUCGAUCGAAACUGCCGUUCUUGAGGAUUGCAGAGGAGACUGGAAUUCCCGGUGUAGCGGUGAAAUGUGUAGAGAUCGGGAGGAACACCGGUGGCGAAGGCGGGUCUCUGGGCAAUUCCUGACGCUGAGGCGCGAAAGCGUGGGGAGCAAACAGG